rnacentral:rRNA from 1 species
AAGAAGCACCGGCUAACUCCGUGCCAGCAGCCGCGGUAAUACGGAGGGUGCGAGCGUUAAUCGGAAUUACUGGGCGUAAAGCGCAUGCAGGCGGCCUGUUAAGUCAGAUGUGAAAGCCCGGGGCUUAACCUCGGAAUUGCAUUUGAAAACUGGCAGGCUAGAGUCUUGUAGAGGGGGUAGAAUUUCAGGUGUAGCGGUGAAAAUGCGUAGAGAUCUGAAGGAAUACCAGUGGCGAAGGCGGCCCCCUGGACAAAGACUGACGCUCAGAUGCGAAAGCGUGGGGAGCAAACAGGAUUAGAUACCCCUGGUAG